rnacentral:rRNA from 1 species
UACAGAGGGUGCGAGCGUUAAUCGGAAUUACUGGGCGUAAAGCGCACGUAGUCGGCUUUGCAAGUCGGGUGUGAAAUCCCCGGGCUCAACCUGGGAACUGCAUCCGAGACUGCAUUGCUAGAGUAUGGGAGAGGGAAGCGGAAUUUCUGGUGUAGCAGUGAAAUGCGUAGAUAUCGGGAGGAACACCAGUGGCGAAGGCGACUACCUGGCCUGUUCUUGACGCUGAGGCGCGAAAGCUAGGGGAGCAAACGGG